rnacentral:rRNA from 1 species
UAGUCCACGCCGUAAACGAUGAGUACUAGUUUUUGGAGGUAUUGACCCCUUCAGAGACGCAGCUAACGCAUUAAGUACUCCGCCUGGGAAGUACGGUCGCAAGACUAAAACUCAAAGGAAUUGACGGGGGCCCGCACAAGCGGUGGAUUAUGUGGUUUAAUUCGAAGCAACGCGCAGAACCUUACCUAGGCUUGAAAUCCGAGGAAUUCGACGUAACUGUUGAAGUGCCCGCAAGGGAAUCUCGUGACAGGUGCUGCAUGGCUGUCGUCAGCUCGUGUUGUGAAAUGUUGGGUUAAGUCUCGCAACGAGCGCAACCCCUAUCUUUAGUUGCCAGCAUUCAGUUGGGCACUCUAGAGAGACUGCCUGGGUUAACCAGGGAGGAAGGUGGGGAUGACGUCAAGUCCUCAUGGCCCUUAUGUCCUGGGGCUACACACGUGCUACAAUGGGGUGGUACAGAGGGGUUGCGAAGCAGCGAUGUGGGAGCUAAUCCCUU